AUACGGAGGAUGCGAGCGUUAUCCGGAUUUAUUGGGAUUAAAGGGUGCGCAGGCGGGCGAUUAAGUCAGCGGUGAAAGGCUCGGGCUCAACCGGAGCAGUGCCGUUGAUACUGGUUGUCUUGAAUGCGGUCAAGGCCGGCGGAAUGUGGCGGGUAGCGGUGAAAUGCAUAGAUAUGCCACAGAACACCGAUAGCGAAGGCAGCUGGCCGGGCCUGCAUUGACGCUGAGGCACGAAAGCGUGGGGAUCGAACAGGAUUAGAUACCCUGGUAGUCCACGCUGUAAACGAUGGACACUCGUUGUCGGCGACAGACAGUCGGCGGCCAAGCGAAAGUGAUAAGUGUCCCACCUGGGGAGUACGGUCGCAAGGCUGAAACUCAAAUGAAUUGACGGGG
rnacentral:rRNA from 1 species